UACGUAGGGGGCAAGCGUUGUCCGGAAUUAUUGGGCGUAAAGAGCGCGUAGGCGGUCCGAUAAGUCGACUGUGAAAGUCUAGGGCUCAACCCUGGAAAGCCGGUCGAUACUGUCGGACUAGAGUCCGGAAGAGGCAAGUGGAAUUCCCGGUGUAGCGGUGAAAUGCGUAGAUAUCAGGAGGAACACCGGCGGUGUAGACGGCUCUCUGGACCGUUACUGACGCUGAGGCGCGACAGCGUGGGGAGCAAACAGG
rnacentral:rRNA from 1 species